ACAGGUGGUCAGGUCGAGUAGACCAAGGCGCUUGAGAGAACUCUGCUGAAGGAACUAGGCAAAAUGGUACCGUAACUUCGGGAGAAGGUACGCUGUUGUUGGUGAUGGAACUCGCUUCCUGAGCUGACGACAGCCGCAGAAACCAGGCCGCUGCAACUGUUUAUUAAAAACAUAGCACUCUGCAAACACGAAAGUGGACGUAUAGGGUGUGAUGCCUGCCCGGUGCUGGAAGGUUAAUUGAUGGGGUUAGCGUAAGCGAAGCUCUUGAUCGAAGCCCCAGUAAACGGCGGCCGUAACUAUAACGGUCCUAAGGUAGCGAAAUUCCUUGUCGGGUAAGUUCCGACCUGCACGAAUGGCAUAAUGAUGGCGGCGCUGUCUCCAGCAGAGGCUCAGUGAAAUCGAAAUCGCUGUGAAGAUGCAGUGUACCCGCGGCUAGACGGAAAGACCCCGUGAACCUUUACUGCAGCUUGACACUGAACUUUGACCUUACUUGUGUAGGAUAGGUGGGAGGCUUUGAAGCUGGAACGCUAGUUCCAGUGGAGCCGUCCUUGAAAUACCACCCUGGUAAUGUUGAGGUUCUAACUCUGUCCCGUGAUCCGGGACGAGGACCGUGUCUGGUGGGUAGUUUGACUGGGGCGGUCUCCUCCUAAAGAGUAACGGAGGAGUACGAAGGUGCGCUCAGCGUGGUCGGAAAUCACGCGUAGAGUAUAAAGGCAAAAGCGCGCUUAACUGCGAGACCCACAAGUCGAGCAGGUACGAAAGUAGGUCUUAGUGAUCCGGUGGUUCUGUAUGGAAGGGCCAUCGCUCAACGGAUAAAAGGUACUCUGGGGAUAACAGGCUGAUACCGCCCAAGAGUUCAUAUCGACGGCGGUGUUUGGCACCUCGAUGUCGGCUCAUCUCAUCCUGGGGCUGAAGCAGGUCCCAAGGGUAUGGCUGUUCGCCAUUUAAAGAGGUACGCGAGCUGGGUUUAGAACGUCGUGAGACAGUUCGGUCCCUAUCUACCGUGGGCGCUGGAAAUUUGAGAGGAUCUGCUCCUAGUACGAGAGGACCAGAGUGGACGAACCUCUGGUGUACCGGUUGUGACGCCAGUCGCAUCGCCGGGUAGCUAUGUUCGGAAGGGAUAACCGCUGAAAGCAUCUAAGCGGGAAGCCUACCUCAAGAUAAGAUUUCCCUAGGACUUUAUGUCCUCUAAAGAGCCGUUCGAGACUAGGACGUUGAUAGGUUGGAUGUGGAAGCAUAGUGAUAUGUGAAGCUGACCAAUACUAAUUGCUCGUGAGGCUUGACUAUACAACACCCAAGCAGUUG
rnacentral:rRNA from 1 species